CGGACCUUAUUUGCUUGGCCAGGUAGGCGCCUGCUUCUGCUGGGUCUGGUGGCAGAUCGGGACGCCCUUGCCACCCCCAGGGGAACCGCCACCCCCACCGCUGGAGAAGCAGCCCCCGCCACCCCCGGAGGAGCCGCCGCCGCAGCCGGAGCCGCCGCCACCCCCACCACCGCUGGAGAAGCAGCCCCCGCUGCCACCGGACGAGCAGCCGCCGCCGCCGCCGCCGCCUCCGCCGCCGCCGCAGCUGGAGAAAUAGCCCCCGCCGCCCCCGGAGGAGCCGCCGACGCAACUGCCUCCGGAGGAUCCCCCUCCGUAGCUCUGCUGGGGCACGCACGAGGUCGGGGUGGUCUGCUGAGAGAAGUAGCCGGAGCCGCCGCCGGAGGAGCCCCCGCCGCAGCCGGAGCUUCCACUAGAGGAGCCGCCACCGCAGCCGGAGCUGCCGCCGCCCCCGGAGGAGCCACCACCCCCGCAGCCCCCGCUAGAGACGCCUCCGUAGCUCUGGCACUGGACCUGCUGACCGGAGUCGCCGCCGCCGCCGCCGCCGCCACCGGAGUAGCAGCUACUGCUGCCGCAGGAGGAGCCGCCGCCGCAGUCGGAGCCGCCGCCGCCCCCGGAAUAGCCACCCCCGCAGCCGGAGCCGCUGCGGCCGCCGCCUCCGGAGCUGCCACCACCCCCAGAGUACUUGACACUCCCACCGGAAUCUCCUCCGCAGCCUCCGGAGCCGCCGCCGCAGCCGGAGCCUUCGCCGCCACCAGAGUAGCCUCCGCAGCCAGAGCUGCUGCCGCCCCCGGAAUACUUGACGCUCACUCCCGAGCCGCCGCCGCCGCUAUGAAAGCCACAGCCGCCGGAGCCGCCGCCGCAGCCCGAGCUGCCGCCGCCGCUAUGGAAGCCACAGCCGCCGGAGCCGCCGCCAGAGCCGCCGCCGCCGCCGCCACCCGAGUUCUUCCCGCAACCCACUGGGGGCAUGGGGGUGGGCUGCUUUUUCUGGUGAGACAUCUCGUCUAA
rnacentral:lncRNA from 1 species